CCUGUGGAUCGUUACAUAAACGAAAGUAGUUGAAACGAAAACAUUUUUGUUUUAACAAAAUCGGACGGGAUGAAACAGGAA
rnacentral:sRNA from 12 species